GGCCUGCGCCCCCCUGUGCUGAGCCGCGGGGAGGCGGUGGUGAGGGGUAGGGGUGCCGGAGGAGGGGGUGCGGGAGGAGGGGGGCUGCUCCGCCCCGACCACCCCCCACCCCCCCUCCCAGUGGGCCCGGCCGCGGCCGCGAGCAAGCGCUGACCCACAUUUGCACCGCGCCGGGCGGAAAGUAGGCCACGGGAGGCUGAGGGAGGCUGAGCCAGGCCGCGGCUCACAGUUUCCGGGCGGGGCGGGCCGCAGGGGGGCGGGGGGGGGGGGGGCUCCCCGCGCAGGAGGAGCAGGGCCUGCGGGAAGCGCUGCGCGGGCCUGGGCUGCUCCCGCUGCGGGGCUCCCUGGGGCCGCCCGACCCGAGGGCACCCCUCCGCCCACCACCCCGACACCCCUGGCCCUGGGUGCCCCGGCCGCCGGCUGCGUGAGGGAGGGGGAGGCGCGGCGGGUGGGCGGCAGCUUGGCCGCCGCGCCCCUGACUCAGAGCCUGGCCGCAGCUCCAGCCCGGGCGCCCGCGGGUCACGGGGCGGGUGACGUCAGCGUGAGCCCCGCGGGCGGGGAAACUGAGGCCGGGGGGCGUGGCCGCCCAGGGUCGGGCCGCGGGGAGCCAGGGAGGGGCCCGCUGAGAACCUGCCCGCCCCCCUGCCCCCCCCCGCCCCUCACCCCCCCACCCCCGCACUGGGCUCCGCUGGCCCCUGGGAGCCUGGGGCCGGGAAGGGGACCCCCGCGGUGCGAGGUCCGGGGCGGGGGGGCGGGGCUGUGCCGAGCGGCCCCCCAGCGCCUCCCCCGCGCGCCCCGAUCCACGCCCCGAGUCGCCCCGUGCGGCCUGGGGGCUCCCGCCGCCCCGACAGUCCCUGCGGCCUUCGGGGCCCGCCCCGCCCGGGGUCCCGGGAGAGGAGGCCCCUCGUGUGCGUGUGCGUGUGCGUGUGCGUGUGCGCCCCGGGCCGCCGGCCUCUCCCGCCCACCGGGUGGCACGUCCACGGCCGCGGGGCUCCCUGACCCGGGGUCAGGACCGGGCCUCCCGAGCUCCGCAGCCACCGCCCUCGGGGUGUGGGGCCCCUUCCCUCCCGCGGCCCCGGGGCCCCGGAACCACCUCCACGCAGCCCCCCGGGGACCAGCCGCCGCGCCGGGAGGAGCGCAGGCCGCGCAGGUCACGCCCAGCCAUGCACGGCCACGCGGGCGACACAGGCCACGCAGGACACGCAGGUUUUGGGUUCCGGCAGGUGCACCCACUGUUACCACGGCCUCGGGCAACCGCAACUUCACGAAGUGUGGGGAGUUUCCAGCUGUCACCUAG
rnacentral:lncRNA from 1 species